rnacentral:rRNA from 1 species
AUUGAACGCUGGCGGCAGGCCUAACACAUGCAAGUCGAACGAGCGGCGGACGGGUGAGUAAUGUCUGGGAAACUGCCUGAUGGAGGGGGAUAACUACUGGAAACGGUAGCUAAUACCGCAUACCAUCAGAUGUGCCCAGAUGGGAUUAGCUAGUAGUUGGGGUAAUGGCUCACCUAGGCGACGAUCCCUAGCUGGUCUGCGAGGAUGACCAGCCACACUGGAACUGAUAAAGGGUCAAGACUCCUACGGGAGGAAGCAGUGGGGAUUAUUGCACAAUGGGCGAAAGCCGGAGGCAGACAUGCCGCGUGUGGGAAGAAGGCCUUCGGGUGGUAAAGCACGUUCAGCGGGGAGGCGUUACCCGCAUAAGAAGCAACGGCUAACUCCGUGCCAGCAGCCGCGGUAAUUC